ensembl:lncRNA
UGCCUACGCCUGUGAUCUCACAAAGCGGUUUAUGGGUCAGGGCCAGAACACCUCAUGGUGUGAGUGGUCACACCAUCAGCCAUAGGACCCCUGUCUUUUGCAGAGGGGAAAGAGAAUGGGGUUGAGAGCCAGCUUUCUCCAGAUCGGGAGACUAUAAACAAGGCAGUGCAAAUACUCAGACAAGAUGCCAUAGAUUACACUGACUGUUUUGGACCCUAGCAGCAGCAAAUCCUUCAUUCGGGGGCCACCAAGCGCUGGAGUUACACCUCCAAAACUUCAGGAUAACCACAUCUGAUUUUGCUUUCAUGUUGAUGCCGAUCUCAGAAGUAUGAUCAGUUCCUGUCCUGGCCUCUGUUUCACCCACAGUUAGAUCACCUGGUCUUGAGGGUAUCAUUUGCAAGGAAGUCACUCUGUAGUGCCUCUCAAAGUGAAUCCAGCCUUGGCUUUCUGCCAGGGUGCUGUGAGUUUUUUUAUCAGCACUUUGCAAGCAGUAUCAGGAGAAGUGUCGACUGCAUUUCUGCAGCUGCUGGCUGGUGUGGGGAUGCCUUCAUCUCCUGUCAUGAACUGCUGGAGUGGGGCAGUUGCAAGCUUUGUGCUUCUGACUCAGUGAGAACUGUUUUGGAUGUUGUUGAACAUUGUCGCUUUUGCAGGAAUUUUAGAAGCACUCAGCAAAGCAUUUUUCUUUCCAUAAACUACUUUAGCUCUAGCUAUGAGCUAUGAAAUCAACUCCAGGAAAGAUGUGCUUCAAGAGUUGUUAUCAAAAUAUCAGCUCAGCAGUGUCCAUGCCAGUAAAGCGAAAUGAGGCAAUGUAUGUAUAGAUAUAUAAUUCCAAUGGUACUACUCAAAGUGGGUGAGCAGACAUAAUAUAAAACUGCCUUACAUUUGGAAGAUGUAAAGAAGACAGAAGCAUACCCUGCCAAGCACCACUUCACAGGUGUGACUACAAGGACGGACUGAGUGGCAUCUUUAAGAAAAACAGAUUUAGCAGGGACGUGCAUGAAGUUCACACACUAAGCUGGAGGACACAGAUUCCCUUAUGUUGGCCCCAGCUUGUCCCACCCAAGUUAUGGUUUGUUCCUUGGAAGAAGUUUCUCUCUCCAUUGCCUGUGUUCCUAAUAGGGCACCUCAAGUUUGGGGACAAAAAUCUGUGUCUUUCUGUGCCUAACAACUACCUCUCUUCUAAUCCUUGAUGUACCGUGAGCUUUCUGUAAUGUCCUGCUUCCAGCAAGGUGCUUUUAAUUCUUCUUAGGGAGCAGUAGCCACUUUUAGCUCUUCUGAAUAACUUUCUCCAGUAGUUUUUUUCUUUUUGGCUGGUUUGUGACAGUUUGUGACUCGUGAGCUAUUGCUAUCGAGUUUGUUAUCAAAGGCUCUGUUCUCAUGCUUCUAAUGGUAUUUGUGAUGGAAAAUAGAUGCUUAGCCUUCCUGUUUUGCUGGUAUCCCAAGGCUGAUGAAAUCUGACAGCAGGUGUCUAGAUAUCACCAGAGCAGAGGUCUCCAAUCUUUUCCGUUUUUUCCCCAUGGCACAGACUGCAUUUAUAAGCUCAAGCUUUUGGUGAACUGCUUUUAGGAGCUGAGAUCUCAUUUAUUAACUGGCUCAGAUCCAUUCAAUGAAAAUAAAGGACAUGCUAAGCUCUGCA